rnacentral:rRNA from 1 species
AUUGAACGCUGGCGGAAUGCUUUACACAUGCAAGUCGAACGGCAGCACGGGGGCAACCCUGGUGGCGAGUGGCGAACGGGUGAGUAAUACAUCGGAACGUGCCCGGUCGUGGGGGAUAACGUAGCGAAAGUUACGCUAAUACCGCAUACGAUCUGAGGAUGAAAGCGGGGGACCUUCGGGCCUCGCGCGAUCGGAGCGGCCGAUGUCAGAUUAGGUAGUUGGUGGGGUAAAGGCCUACCAAGCCGACGAUCUGUAGCUGGUCUGAGAGGACGACCAGCCAUACUGGGACUGAGACACGGCCCAGACUCCUACGGGAGGCAGCAGUGGGGAAUUUUGGACAAUGGGCGCAAGCCUGAUCCAGCCAUUCCGCGUGCAGGACGAAGGCCUUCGGGUUGUAAACUGCUUUUGUAUGGAACGAAAAGGCUCUGGCUAAUACCUGGGGCUCAUGACGGUACCGUAAGAAUAAGCACCGGCUAACUACGUG